GCUCGCUUUGAAACAGCAAAGCGGGAGAAGAGCCGCUGAGUGGGGAGGAGAGAGGGACAGAGAGCCUGCUAGCUUUAAAGGAGCAAAGCGGGUGUAAGCAGGUCCUGUCCGGUUGGCUCCUUUAAAGCAAGCAGGCUCUCUGUCCCUCUCUCCUCCCCACUCAGCUGGCUAAAUAGCAGCAAAGUUUUUCAGUGAG